GACAGAGGGUGCAAACGUUGUUCGGAAUUACUGGGCGUAAAGCGUGUGUAGGCGGCCACGUAAGUCGGCUGUGAAAGCCCCAGGCUCAACCUGGGAAGUGCACUCGAUACUGCGUGGCUUGAGUAUCGGAGAGGUUGGUGGAAUUCUCGGUGUAGAGGUGAAAUUCGUAGAUAUCGAGAGGAACACCGGUGGCGAAGGCGGCCAACUGGGCGAAUACUGACGCUGAGACACGAAAGCGUGGGGAGCAAACAGG
rnacentral:rRNA from 1 species